rnacentral:lncRNA from 1 species
GCAAUCCACCAGCUCCUGGCCCCUGCCAGCAGAGGGCAUCUUCAGAAAUCACAGGACCCAUUCAAGUCUCCAGCGCAGGGCCACUUCACUUGCUCUUUGGGAUGAACAACUGGAGGGAGACCUGCUGCUUGUAAACAAGUUUCUACCAGCAACAUCCAGGUAGCAAUUCCAAAGUUAAGAGGUGUUUUGGGGUUUUUUGGGUUUGGGGUUUUUUCCCCCUUUAAAAAUUUUUUUCUUUAAGGCAGAGAUUGAAGGACAGUAGUUGCAUCCAACUACCACACUCAUGUCAAGUAUUUUCUAUUUGUCAUUAGAGACAUUCAAAAGUGAUCAAGCUAUCAUAAUAAAAGUAAUACAUGUUAAAACAUCAGAAACAACAUUUCGACCUAUGAUACUGGCAAAAGAAAAAGUUUAAAAAUAUCAAGUGGGAGUGUAAAUUGUACAUCUCUCCUUGCAGGGCAAUUUGGCAACAACCAUGAAGUUACAGUGUAGUUCCUGAUCCCUCCUUUUGCUGAACAAGUCUGUUCUAAAGCCAUUCAGUGCCGCAGAGUUACAAUAUCAGAAAGGAAAAAAAAAAAAAUAACCAAUCCUCAGGGUCAGAUUGGAAUUGUAGGUAUUGGUGUGCACUCCUGAUUUUUAAACUAAACAGAUGCAGAAAUAAUACAGACAUGUUCACAUGUACACACACCCACAGAUAUUCCCUAGCUCUACCCAGACAGCUUGGGAACAGUGGCCCCCCAAAAGCAGUGAGCACACCUAGAGUUCAGAUCUUGGUUUUUCAAUACUAUCUUCCACUAAAAGGAACCAGGAGUCCUUGGAGAAAUGGCUGGUUCCAGAGCUGAGGCAGGAAGACCACGCAAUGCAGCAUUUUAUUGUAGUGGAGAGCAAGAAAGUGCUCAGAGAAUAAUGAGUGUAUGCCCCAAACACCCACCCCCACCUCUGCACCUUGAAGUUUCGGGAGCAACUUUAGCAUCCAAGUAAAUAGCAAAAAUAAUGAAUUUUAAUAAAACAAGAGACCAGGAGUCCAUAUAGAUAAACGGAAGUCUGGUAGACAUUCCUUUAAUCAAAUGGGACAAAUCAAAAUCAUGCACUGUGUUGAUGGGAUGCAAUGAGAGAAGCCAGCAUCAUUUCCAUGAUGUUCCCGCUGAAAUGCAAUGUAAAUCCAAA